ensembl:lncRNA
AUUAUGUAAACAAAACUUUUAUUUUGGAUGUGAUUAAUCGUGAUUAAUCAUUUGACAGCCCUAAUAUAUAUAUAUAUAUAUAUUAUAUAUAUAUAAUUUUUUGAGAUAAUCAACAUUAUGCCACACAACUGAUGUAAAGUAAGUGCAGUUUUAUGCUUCAACCAUAGAUGGCGAUAAUCCCGAAGUGCACCUUUAAAGAGAAGAGAGAAACAACAAAAGAAGUUGCUGAUGCAAGUAAAAAGAAAGAGUUGUUUAAGCAGAAACAUCAAGUGACAUCAUUUAAAAUGAAGUGCAUUUUAGGAGAAACACCUGAGACAUGCUUUAAAGACUCAACAAGUCUCAUAAGCUGUGAAAGAGUUUCCUUUGACAUUCAUUCAAAUCCAUGCAGCUCCAGAACUGACUGAUGUGAGAUGAUGUUGAUUGAAUCAGGUGACUAUAGGACACAGAAAUCAGGUUCAUUCUGCUUCUGUAAAAUGCAGUGUGUCAGUUUAUCUCAUGUGUUGUCUGUCUGUUUUAUCGGAUGCAUCCUGGGAUAGAUAACCUGGCAUCUGUGCAUGUGGUGUUAAAAUAUGAUUACAGUCUCUGUGUGUGAUUGUGUCAUCUUACCAUGCUCUGGUUUAUUAUUUUGUUUCAAUUUGUGUAUAAUUAAGGUUUGUGUGGGACAUCUCAAAGGGCUCGCCCUUUAUUUUUAAACAUUAUAAACCCUUAUUUUAAAUGAUUUGCCACUUGCUGUUGCUUCUUAUUAGGAGGAGGAACAUUCUUAUUCUAGAGAGAAUUUGUUUAAACUGAGUAUUAAAUGAUGCCAAAAAUGUUUUGGUCCAUGUUACUUGAAGAUUAUUUAUUUAUUUAUUUAUUUAUUUUAUAAUUGUUCUAAAUUUUUAUUUUAUUUUUAUUUCAUUUUAUUUUAUCAUAUUCUUUGUAUUUUUUCUUUGUAAUUUUAUUUGUAAUUUAUUUUUUUAUUAUUUCAUUUGAUCUUGUAAAUUUUUAUUUUUAUAUAAUUUUUUUUAUAAUUUGUAUUGUCUUGUAAUUUUUUUAAUAAUUUUUUUCUAUUUUUAUUUUAUGAUUUUAUAUAUAAUGUAAAAGGAAACCAUGAAAUAAAAAUAAACAUUUAAAAAUGUACAAAAAUAAAAUUUAAUAAUAUAAAAAUGUAAAAAAUAAUCGAAUGCACUAGCAUAUAAUUGGGCUCAAAGCUACAAAACUCUAAAAGUCUAUUUAAUUUGAUUUAUUUUAUUAUUUUUGUAUGAAUUUAAUCUUGUAUUGUUUUUUAUAUAUUAUUUAAUUUUUAUUUUACUAUUGUUUUUUCUUAUUUUUAUAGAAAUUUUUUUUUUCCUUUUUUUUUUUUUUUUACUUUGUCUUUGUUAUGCACUCGCAUACAAAUGAGCUUAAGCCUACAAGACUCCAAAAGCCACAAAAGUCCAAAAGUUUUGAUUUCAUGGCGCUUUUAAUAAUGUCGCAUCAUAAAGGCAAAAACGUCCAACUGAAAACCAUUCAUUUACAGUAGACAGGUCCAUUUCUGCAGCUUUGUGCACUUUGUAUGUGGCCUGUUCAGGGUCCUGAAAAGCCAGGGGUCUGAAUCUGAAGCUGCACAGGCUGGGAUAAUGUAGCGACGAAUCGCCGCGCAUUAAGACCGGCCACACAAAGCACAACAAUGGCGUGCAUAAACACCAUUUAGAGGCUUUGACGAGGCAUUGAGGGGCUGGGCGUCAACGCAGCAUUGCAGCUGAGUCGGCUCAUUGUAGAGAGGUGAAAAGAUGCCUAAUGAACAGGAAGCCUUACUGACAGAAACCAUACAACGGCCACAUUGUGGGCCUGCCAUCGACCCUGUGGGUCCCAGCAUUAGGAGAAAUGAUGAGAAAGUCACCCCCUUAACACACACAGACCCAAACCCGCGGGGGAAAGGGCCCAAGCAAGACUGUGAUGGUGCGUUUCAACGGUCAUUAGAAGUGUUUUUGAUUUUUUUUUUUUUUUAAAUGUAUGUAUGUACAUUUAUAACACUAUACUUUAUCACUUUUGCAUCAAAUUAAAAAAAAACUAGUUAACGCUAAUGCCAGGGUGUUUCUAAUGAUGCGUCUAUGGGAGCAAUGGUAAAUUUGACAUUGUUCCCUCUUCUGACUGCUGUUAUCACUCUUAUUUUAUUUUAUUUUUUUCCCUUUUUUUUAAAAGUCGUGAAAACACCAUCUUGAAAUUUUUAUUUUGCUAUUUUGAGCAAAUGGGAAUGCAAAAAAUAUAUAUUUGUGGUACUCUCCCAUUCACUGCUCUUUAAGUUAACCCAAAUAUUGACGACUUCUGCUGCUGAAAAACGUGUGAAAUGUGAAAAAGGUCCACAGACGUGGUUAACCGCUCACAUGUGACAUGCUCAUAUCACACAGAAU